rnacentral:misc_RNA from 1 species
AGUCAUCAACCCCGCACGUUUCUUGCGAGCGUGCGGCGGUUGGAUCUGGGGGCUCUGCCGCUCUCCGAGCUGGCUCCCCUCAAAUGCUUCGGUUGGGCCUGCGGGUCGAACUCGACUGGGCGUUGUACCAUCCUCGCUCGAACGAGACGGACCCCUACCGUGCCUAACCUCGACCUGCCUCGCAGUGGGCGGUCAAAUCGAGCCUUUGAA